GUCGGUCCUCGGUAGUGGCUCCCGGGCCUGGACGUCGACCUCGGUCGCGCACCAGGGCGUGGGCCUCGAUCGAAGACCUCC
rfam:Micrococcales bacterium 73-15 SCNpilot_expt_1000_bf_scaffold_329, whole genome shotgun sequence.